rnacentral:tRNA from 1 species
CCUUAGCUCAGCGGUAGAGCAGUGGACUGAAAAUCCGCGUGUCCCUGGUUCGAUUCCCG